UGGCAUUUGCAUUUGCAUUUUGGCAAGGAAGAUGUGACGCAGUGAAGGAACAUCAUCCUCUUUUCCUACUUUAUUUAGGUACGCUAACAUCCAUUUUCCUUGGUUAGCCAUGACGUUUUCUUCUCAUGCCAUGCCCUUUCUGUUUCUCCUUUUACCAUUUUCACUCUCCUUUUCUUUUUUUAUCUUUUCCCUCUUCUCAUCCUCCGGUUUCCCUCAU
rnacentral:lncRNA from 1 species